rnacentral:rRNA from 1 species
UACGGGGGGGGCAAGCGUUGUUCGGAAUUACUGGGCGUAAAGGGCUCGUAGGUGGCCAACUAAGUCAGACGUGAAAUCCCUCGGCUUAACCGGGGAACUGCGUCUGAUACUGGAUGGCUUGAGUUUGGGAGAGGGACGCGGAAUUCCAGGUGUAGCGGUGAAAUGCGUAGAUAUCAAGAAGAACACUUAGGGCGUAGGCAAGACUCUGGACAAAUGCUGACGCUCAUGCACGAAGGCUAGGGUAGCGAACGGG